CGGACGGGUGAGUAACGCGUGAGAAUCUGCCCUGAGGAGGGGGAUAACGGCCGGAAACGGCCGCUAAUACCCCAUAUGCCGAGAGGUGAAAUGAAUUUCGCCUGAGGAUGAGCCCGCGUCUGAUUAGCUAGUUGGUGGGGUAAUGGCCCACCAAGGCGACGAUCAGUAGCUGGUCUGAGAGGAUGAUCAGCCACACUGGGACUGAGACACGGCCCAGACUCCUACGGGAGGCAGCAGUGGGGAAUUUUCCGCAAUGGGCGAAAGCCUGACGGAGCAACGCCGCGUGAGGGAUGAAGGCCUCUGGGCUGUAAACCUCUUUUCUCAAGGAAGAAGACAUGACGGUACUUGAGGAAUAAGCCACGGCUAAUUCCGUGCCAGCAGCCGCGGUAAUACGGGAGUGGCAAGCGUUAUCCGGAAUUAUUGGGCGUAAAGCGUCCGCAGGCGGCCUUGUAAGUCUGUCGUUAAAGCGUGGAGCUUAACUCCAUUUCAGCGAUGGAAACUACAAGGCUUGAGUGUGGUAGGGGCAGAGGGAAUUCCCGGUGUAGCGGUGAAAUGCGUAGAUAUCGGGAAGAACACCAGUGGCGAAGGCGCUCUGCUGGGCCAUAACUGACGCUCAUGGACGAAAGCCAGGGGAGCGAAUGGGAUUAGAUACCCCAGU
rnacentral:rRNA from 1 species